rnacentral:misc_RNA from 1 species
UAUUUAGAGUUUAAACGAAGAAAAUGAAGCUUUUUAUUCUCGCAUGUUUAAUUUCAAUUUUAACUGCAGAAAAAGAAAUCAAAAGCAAAAAGGAAAAUUGUAGUAAUGAUAUGAUACUAUUUCAGGCAUUGUUCAAACUCUAAACUCAAGCUUAUGCUAAAUGAGACUGGUAUGGAAAAUUUUUGCGUAGAUAGGAGCCUGGGAACAAAGUUACCCAAAAUAAUCUGCAAAUGCGAGGGCAAUGAGUUAAUAAAAAGUUAUUUUUUAGCAUACAAAAUUAAACAUUUUCAUUUGACAUAAGUAUGAACAUUUUUAAGUUUACAAUUUUCACAAUGUCAGAAAGUUUCUAGCAUUGUGCAAACUCUGAAACAUAAAAAAAAUCUGACUACGCUACAUAUGGAAAGUAAACGCUGGUUAAACUGACGCUUUAUAUUUAGAAUGGGUAUUAUUACAAAAAAACACGUGUUUUGAAGCUAAGGGUGACAAUCCUGCAAUUAUUCCAGUUAAGAUCAAAGGUUGGUUAUCCGAAAUUAAACUUGUUCAUGUAAGUGGGGUUUUAAAAUGCUGGCAGCAUUCAUCA